CCUACGGGGGGCAGCAGUGAGGAAUAUUGGUCAAUGGACGAGAGUCUGAACCAGCCAAGUAGCGUGAAGGAUGACUGCCCUAUGGGUUGUAAACUUCUUUUAUAAAGGAAUAAAACGAGGCACGUGUGCCUGUUUGCAUGUACUUUAUGAAUAAGGAUCGGCUAACUCCGUGCCAGCAGCCGCGGUAAUACGGAGGAUCCGAGCGUUAUCCGGAUUUAUUGGGUUUAAGGGGAGCGUAGAUGGGUUGUUAAGUCAGUUGUGAAAGUUUGCGGCUCAACCGUAAGAUUGCAAUUGAUACUGGCAGUCUUGAGUACAGUAGAGGUAAGCGGAAUUCGUGGUGUAGCGGUGAAAUGCUUAGAUAUCACGAAGAACCCCGAUUGCGAAGGCAGCUUACUAAACUGUGACUGACAUUGAUGCUCGAAAGUGUGGGUAUCAAACAGGAUUAGAUACCCUGGUAGUC
rnacentral:rRNA from 1 species